ACGGAUAUGAUGAAAUUGGUAGACGUGUUAGGUUUAGAUUCUAAUGAUAUAAAAUCGUGAGGGUUCGAGUCCCUCUAUCCGUA
rnacentral:tRNA from 1 species